GGGCUCUCAGUUCCUGCGAGUUCUGUGAGCCCCAGCAUGCUGGUCCUGCAACAAACCCUUUGCUUUUGCAUGAGAACGUCUCUUGGUGCUUUCCUUGCCCUG